AGGCUUGCGUUUGAGGGACAUGCGAUCGUGCGGUGUACGUCUACUGUACCUGGCUACACGGCGGGAGGACGUCGAGGGAGGUUUCCGGAUUACGCCACAAAAUCCGGGGUUCGCUGGUUGAGCCACAAAGCCAUGCAUCGUACCGGGACGCUCGUGCGGCGGGCGUUGGCCGAAGAUGGAAAUUCCGGCGAUCGCGAUACGAUUUCGGAUGGUCAUGCGGUGACAUCGCGAGGAUCACAUCGCGGAGAUGGAGGGAUCGCGGACAUCGCGGAAUUUACCAUGGAAGAUUAGACGUAAUUAGAAUUUACGCUCCUACGUUAAAUUUAUUUAGCGUAGGGGGUUAUGUGUAAAAGGUAGAGCCACCCUUGGGGUUAUAAAUAUGUGGCACCUAGGGUUGAGAGGGUUUGGGGCCUUUUUGCUACAGUGCCGCGGUUAC
rnacentral:lncRNA from 1 species